GUGACUGCCUGCCUCUGUGUGUGACUGUCUGCCUCUGUGUGUGACUGUCUACAUGUGUGUGUGUGUGACUGUCUGCCUCUGUGUGACUGUCUGCCUCUGUGUGACUGUCUUCCUGUGUGUGUGACUGCCUGCCUGUGUGUGUAUGGCCAUCUGCCUCUGUGUGUGUAUGGCCAUCUGCCUCUGUGUGUGACUGUCUGCCUGUGUGUGUGGCUGUCUGCCUGUGUGUGUGGCUGUGUGUGUGACUGUCUGCCUGUCUGUGUGUGUGUGUGGCUGCGUGUGUGUGUGACUGUCUGCAUUUAAGUAUGUGUGUGUAAAACUGUAUGUGUGGCUUUGUGUGUGUAAGACUGUAUGUGUGGCUGUCUGCCUGUGUGUGUGUGUGGAUGUCUUCCUGUGUGUGUAUGGCCAUCUGCCUCUGUGUGUGUAUAGCCAUCUGCCUCUGUGUGUGUGACUGUCUGCCUGUGUGUGUGUAUGACUGUCUGCCUGUGUGUGUGGCUGUCUGCCUGUGUGUGUAUGUGGCUGUCUUCCUGUGUGUGUGUGGCUGCGUGUGUGUGACUGUCUGCCUGCCUGUGUGUGUGUGUGUGUGGCUGCAUGUGUGUGUGACUGUCUGCAUGUAAGUAUUUGUGUGUAAGACUGUAUGUGUGGCUGUGUGUGUGUAAGACUGUAUGUGUGACUGUCUGCCUGUGUGUGUGUGUGUGGCUGUCUGACUGUAAUUGUGUGUGAGUGUGUUUAUCUACCUGUAACUGUAUG